GGCGGAGUAGCUCAGCUGGUUAGAGCAUACGGUUCAUACCCGUAGUGUCGAGGGUUCGAGUCCCCCCUCCGCUACCA
rnacentral:tRNA from 1 species